rnacentral:sRNA from 1 species
AAGCGCGGGGGAGGGAGUGUAAAUAGAGCGAAGGCUGCUCUGUGUCAGCCCCGUCACCGCCGGGCGGCCCGCGCGGAGUCUGAGGGAGAUGGAAGUUGAGCAAGAGCAGCGGCGCAGAAAGGUGGAGGCCGGGAGGACGAAGCUUGCUCACUUCCGACAGAGAAAAACAAAAGGUGACAGUUCGCAUUCGGAGAAAAAGACGGCGAAGAGGAAGGGCUCGGCUGUCAAUGCGUCUGUCCAGGAGGAGAGUCCGGUAACCAAGGAGGACAGCGCACUCUGUGGAGGAGGGGACAUUUGCAAAAGCACAUCAUGUGACGACACCCCUGAUGGGGCAGGAGGGGCCUUUGCCGCUCAGCCGGAGGACUGUGAUGGAGAGAAGAGAGAGGACUUGGAACAGCUGCAGCAGAAGCAAGUCAAUGACCAUCCUCCAGAGCAGUGUGGGAUGUUCACAGUCAGUGACCACCAACCGGAACAGCGUGGGAUGUUCACAAUCAGUGACCACCCAGGAGAACAGCGUGGGAUGUUCACAAAGGAGUGUGAACAAGAAUGUGAACUUGCCAUUACUGACCUGGAGAGUGGCCGUGAAGAUGAGGCUGGCCUGCAGCAGAGUCAGAGGCCUUUUCUCCACCGCAGGCCGUGCAUGGCCUUGAACUGGAGGCGCUGCGCCUGAGUCUGAGCAACAUGCACACGGCGCAGCUGGAGCUGACACAGGCCAACCUCCAGAAGGAGAAGGAGACGGCAUUGACGGAGCUGCGGGAGAUGCUCAACAGCCGGCGUGCCCAGGAGCUGGCCCUGCUACAGAGCAGGCAGCAGCACGAGCUGGAGCUCCUCAGGGAGCAGCACGCACGGGAGAAGGAGGAGGUGGUGCUCAGCUGAGCUGAAGGAGAAGUUACAAUCAGAAAUGGAGAAAAACGCCCAGAUAGUAAAGACCCUGAAGGAAGAUUGGGAAUCUGAAAAAGAUUUAUGUUUAGAAAAUCUACGCAAAGAAUUGUCUGCAAAGCAUCAAUCAGAAAUGGAGGAUUUACAAAACCAGUUUCAGAAAGAAUUGGCAGAACAGAGAGCUGAGUUGGAGAAGAUUUUUCAAGACAAAAACCAGGCUGAACGGGCCCUUAGGAACCUGGAGAGUCAUCAUCAAGCAGCCAUUGAGAAGUUACGUGAAGACCUGCAGUCCGAGCACGGCCGGUGUUUAGAAGACUUGGAGUUUAAGUUCAAAGAGAGCG